rnacentral:rRNA from 1 species
AACGAACGCUGGCGGCAUGCCUAACACAUGCAAGUCGAACGAGACCUUCGGGUCUAGUGGCGCACGGGUGCGUAACACGUGGGAAUCUGCCCUUUGCUUCGGAAUAACAGUUAGAAAUGACUGCUAAUACCGGAUGAUGUCGAAAGACCAAAGAUUUAUCGGCAAAGGAUGAGCCCGCGUAGGAUUAGGUAGUUGGUGGGGUAAAGGCCUACCAAGCCGACGAUCCUUAGCUGGUCUGAGAGGAUGAUCAGCCACACUGGGACUGAGACACGGCCCAGACUCCUACGGGAGGCAGCAGUGGGGAAUAUUGGACAAUGGGCGAAAGCCUGACCCAGCAAUGCCGCGUGAGUGAUGAAGGCCUUAGGGUUGUAAAGCUCUUUUACCAGGGAUGAUAAUGACAGUACCUGGAGAAUAAGCUCCGGCUAACUCCGUG